UACGGAGGGGGCUAGCGUUGUUCGGAAUUACUGGGCGUAAAGCGCACUAGGCGGCUUUGUAAGUUAGAGGUGAAAGCCCGGGGCUCAACCCCGGAAUUGCCUUUAAGACUGCAUCGCUAGAAUUGUGGAGAGGUAAGUGGAAUUCCGAGUGUAGAGGUGAAAUUCGUAGAUAUUCGGAAGAACACCAGUGGCGAAGGCGACUUACUGGACACAUAUUGACGCUGAGG
rnacentral:rRNA from 1 species